rnacentral:rRNA from 1 species
GACGAACGCUGGCGGCGUGCUUAACACAUGCAAGUCGAACGGAAAGGCCCUGCUUUUGUGGGGUGCUCGAGUGGCGAACGGGUGAGUAACACGUGAGUAACCUGCCCUUGACUUUGGGAUAACUUCAGGAAACUGGGGCUAAUACCGGAUAGGAGCUCCUGCUGCAUGGUGGGGGUUGGAAAGUUUCGGCGGUUGGGGAUGGACUCGCGGCUUAUCAGCUUGUUGGUGGGGUAGUGGCUUACCAAGGCUUUGACGGGUAGCCGGCCUGUGAGGGUGACCGGCCACAUGGGGACUGAGAUACGGCCCAGACUCCUACGGGAGGCAGCAGUGGGGAAUAUUGCACAAUGGGCGGAAGCCUGAUGCAGCAACGCCGCGGUCGGGAUGACGGCCUUCGGGUUGUAAACCGCUUUCGCCUGUGACGAAGCGUGAGUGACGGUAAUGGGUAAAGAAGCACCGGCUAACUACGUG